GACGAACGCUGGCGGCGUGCUUAACACAUGCAAGUCGAGCGAUGAAGUUCCUUCGGGAAUGGAUUAGCGGCGGACGGGUGAGUAACACGUGGGUAACCUGCCUCAUAGAGGGGAAUAGCCUUUCGAAAGGAAGAUUAAUACCGCAUAAGAUUGUAGCUUCGCAUGAAGCAGCAAUUAAAGGAGUAAUCCGCUAUGAGAUGGACCCGCGUCGCAUUAGCUAGUUGGUGAGGUAACGGCUCACCAAGGCGGCGAUGCGUAGCCGACCUGAGAGGGUGAUCGGCCACAUUGGGACUGAGACACGGCCCAGACUCCUACGGGAGGCAGCAGUGGGGAAUAUUGCACAAUGGGGAAACCCUGAUGCAGCAACGCCGCGUGAGUGAUGACGGUCUUCGGAUUGUAAAACUCUGUCUUCAGGGACGAUAAUGACGGUACCUGAGGAGGAAGCCACGGCUAACUACGUGCCAGCCGCCGCCGUAACAC
rnacentral:rRNA from 1 species